AAUUUCCUUAAAUAAAGUUAAUGAGCUUGACAUAAGCAUAU
rnacentral:tRNA from 1 species